AGGAAUGAGGCCUGGGCCAGCUAAGCCAGCCUCCACCCAAGGCCGGCCUUCCACUUUCUACUUACAGGUAGUGACCAGCAAUUAGCCAGUUCCUGGCCUCGGCAUCCUGCUGCACCCAGAACAGAGCCCCUCCUUAGUGCACGCCCUGCAGAAUACCUGCCAAGCUUGCUAUACCCAGCCUGUCCCAGGCCUCACCCCCAUUUAGACCAAUACAGCCAGCAGGUAGGGAGCUAUAAAGGAGUCAGGAGUAUUGAUUGCGCACCUUAUCCAAGCCAGGCUCCUUAAUCUCACAGCUGGCCCAGCCUCUAGCUGCUGACUCAGUCUCCGGCACAAUCCUCCACACCUGUAUCAGCCCUGAGAAGUUUCGGAAACUCCAGCACCAGCUCUGGCGAAAAGAUCUCCAUGGUCCAAGGGCAGGGCCAGUGUUUUCCAACGCACCUUCUCAUUUGUUUCUCACACCCUCAGCUAUUGCCCCCAUUGACAAACAAGGAAACAACCUGCCACUCGUUCAACAGGUCUUAGGAGCACAGUGAGAGGCUGUGUGUGGAGAAUAAAAACAGGUGCUCUCCCGCUGGGAAAGAGCUGGGGGGGGGGCAAGGACAGUUGACUUCAACGUCCUCACUUACCAACUCUGUGUCCUGGGCGACCUCCUGGACCUCUCUGAGGUCAUUUCCUCUCUGGCAGGACAGGCCUGAUAGUCACACCGCAGCGGGCCAUGGUCAGGAUUCAGUGAGCUCACCAGGCCUGGCUCUGGCUGGAGCUCCAGAGCAGUGGCUUCUGUGACAAAGAACAAAGCCCCCGCGCAGCAGGGCGUUGGUAAUUAAAUCCUUUGUGCGCGAGCCGUCGCACCCCGCCCCUGCUGCUCUGUG
rnacentral:lncRNA from 1 species